UCGCUUUUCUACUCUAUUUUUUUUUUCUUUCUUUUUUAUUUAUCCCGCCUUUUUCUUUUCCGUCUUUUUUUUCAUACCUGGCUGGAAAGAAAGAGA
rnacentral:ribozyme from 1 species